rnacentral:lncRNA from 10 species
AACCCCUUUGGAGUCUGAAGACCCACUCCUACGUCUCCGGCGUCUGAAGAGCGAAUGGCGCCUGCGAGCUGCCCAGUGCGUUUAUGUGAUGUCGGUGCAGCUCCCUCCGCAUGCCUCGUGCCACUCCCUCCACCUGCCGCUCCCUCCGCCGGCCGCUCCCUCCGCAAUUAUUCUCUCAGUGUAUCGAAAAUAUCAGUCAACUAUCUUCUGGAUUGCAUUGAUGCUAUUGAGAAGGCAGCCUGCAGUCUAAAAGUCAUGGUUUUAAAG